GCAUUGCUGAGAAGUUCUAAAAUAGGACGAAACGGCCGUCCAGUGC
rnacentral:hammerhead_ribozyme from 1 species